CCUUCACUUAGGAUUCUUGGCCCCUUAAUAACUCGAAUUCAGCUUGUGUUAUUCUGUUUGAAAGGCAAGAGGUUGUGUUCCUUAAAUGACUGCAGAUUUUCUAGAGUGAGCUGGGAGGACAGGGUAACAGAUUCCUGAUUGUCUCUCCCCCUCUGAACUGGAGACCUUCAGUUAUAUUUCUCUCAGUACCCUUGGUUGUUUAUUUGGGGGACAGAAUCCUUAAUCUUCAGAGGAUAAUCCAUUCUGCCAUUUUUUUUUUUUUUUCUUUUUCUGACUGCACCUGUGGCAUGUGGAUGUUCCCAGACCAGGGGUCGAAUCAGAGCUGCAGCUGAGGCCUAGGCCAGAGCCACAGCAACACCAGAUCCUUACCCCACUGAGCAAGGCCAGGGAUUGAACUUGAAUCCUCACAGAGACAGCAUUGGGUCCUUACCCUGCUGAGCCACAACGGGAACUCCUAUCAAUUUUAGAAUCAGAAAAAAAUCUAUUUAAAGCAGUGAAUAUUUGCUUUUAAAAAUAUCAAAUAAAAAAAAAUGCAAAGUGGAAAGUGAAAACCCCUCUCCCGGAUGGUGAUUAGGAACAGAUCAAGGGUCAAGGGUGUCUUUUGUCUGCAUUACUUGACAAUAAAGUCACUCUACUUUCUGGUUGAGCCCUAUAUAUAGAUCUGGCUGAGUGGGGACAUCUGUGUCUGAAGAGCUCGGCUUCAGAACAGCUGUGUUCACACAUCUGCUUCUUUGCUAACAUCUAGAAGUAGGGGAUCCCAUAAAAUGAUAUAGAUUCCACUACCCACCCCAAGAGUAAUGUGCUGCUGAAGCCAAGUUUGGGAUGGAAGGAAUGGAGUGGGCUGAAUUAAAAGUCAGGGAUUUGUAGGGGUUCCUGCUGUGGCACAUUGGGCUAAGGAUCUGGUGUUGUCUCUGCACCAGCUCGGGUUCGGAGUCCCAGCCUGGUGCAGUGGGUUAAGGAUCCAGCAGUGCUGCAGCUGUGGCAUAGGGCAUAGCUAUGGCUCAGAUUCCAUCCCUGGCCUGGAAACUUCCAUGUGCCAGGGGUGCAGUUGGGUCUUCGUUGAUGGUUAGGGCCCCUUGAGCUGGGGAGUUUUCUGGAAGGUAUCGGUGCCAUCGCCUUUAUUGUACUGGAAGAGGGCAAGAGCAGAUAGAGGCAGGGACCCAAGUUAGGAGUUGUCUGGAUCAUCCAGGUGAGAGAUGUUGGUGGCCUGGACCAGGACUGGAGGGAGCUCCCAGAAGGUGGAGGAGGUGAUGAGGUACCUACACCUGGUCUCAGAGGGCUUCUGUCUAGUUAAGAACAUAGCCUUGAGCACGCAGUCCCAUAGCGGGUUCUGCACAUGAAGUGUGAAGGAUGAAAAUUUAGUUGCAAAGAUCAAGGAACCUCUCAAGUUGGGGUGGGUGAGUUUCUUCAUUUGAUUGUAAUUCCCAAGGCUUAUAAAAGCCCGCUGUUUGCCCUACAAAGGACCACAAGCACAAGGAAAUACACACUAUGUUCCCUCGUCAUAUUACAAAAAUGCAGAUUGGUGCUGCAUGCAGCAAAAAUUCCAAUCGGAUUGGUUCCUUUGUAGGAUAAUCAAUGGAAUCUUUUGUCUAUUUCUGAGCACAGGAUUCCUUUCCCCUGAGUGGUGGAUUUGGAGUGUUUUUCUCAGAGGAGGAAUGCCUCCCUCGUGUAAUCCAUCCAUCUCCCCCUUUGCAGCGGAGUUCUGAUGAAUGAAUCCUUUGUGCAGCCCUCAGCCGCCUGCUUGUCUCUGCUGGAGAUGAAACAGGUGCAGUCGCCUUUGCUCCAACUCAUCAACUGUUGUCUGAGAUUAUUGGAGGGCUGCAAGGAAGCCUUCAGGGUUUCAUUAUGCUCCAGACGGCUGUCAACCAGUGAGCCAUGAUUCCGACGAGAGAGCUGUGGGGAAGAACAUGGUUUUGGUUGGCAGACCUGGUUUGGUUGAGAUCCAGCAUCCCACCAUGAGCUGUCUUUAGGCACGUUGUCUCCCUGCUCCGGGCCUCGGAUUCAUCUCAUGUAUUAAGAAGACAGUGACACUUUCUGGAUGUGUCCUAUCUCCUGUCUCCAAUGAAAAGCUGAUUCUUUGGUUGCUGGUCAAGUGCAGAUAAAAGAUGAUCAGGGCUGUCACUUUACAGGAGAUUUCACAGUAUGGGGUAUGUGUGUGUGUGUGUGUGUGUGUGUGUGUGUGUGUGUGUGUGCGCGCGCGCGCGCGCUUGGCCAUGGCAUUCGGAAGUUCCUGGGCCAGGAAUUGAACCUGUGCUACAGCAGUGCCAAAUAAACACUUAACAGCAGUGUUGCAAAAUCCUUCACUGCUAGGCCACUGGAACUCUUCAGAAUGUUUUAAAAGCACCUUUUUAUUGUCUUUUAGCCGUGAGGCUAGGACAGAAAAAAAUAUAAAUUAUUCAGAUUAGAGAAAACACGCUCUUAAACAGUAUUCUCAUGGAGAGGCAAGUAUGGUUUGGAGGAUGGGAUGCAAUAAGUAAUCUUGAAUUAGAGAAUAAAAUAAAAUUCCUCUACUGUGUCAGAGUGAGGUGGAAACGAGGCAAAAGAUUGCCCUUUUGCUGGAAAGAGCCCAGCUAGAGUCUUU
rnacentral:lncRNA from 1 species